rnacentral:misc_RNA from 1 species
CAUACCACUUAUGGAUUAAUUUGAAAUAAAGAAAAGAGAAAAGAUAGGUCUGUUAAAUAAGAAGAAAGAAAUAGUUGUUGUCUAUAUCAAUAUUGACUCAAGAGAGAAACCACCGAGCUCUUAUCACGGUCAGGGACGGUAGCUAAUACCAGUAUACACACACGAUCAGUAUAUAAAAUACGUGCAGACACAUUUCUGACAUUUCCGGCCAGGAAUAGCCAUACAGUGAUACAAUGACUAAAAAAUGACGCUUACACAUCAAAAUGAAUCAACGCUAGUUCUGCGAAAGAAACAAAAAUAUGGACGAAUCAGAGUUGAUAUUCUUAGCACGACAGUGCUGCCGUACAAAUAACAAAGGAGCAAAUGGAAGACUAUAUAUUAUGGUAAUGACUGGUGCAAAAUAUUUUAGGCGACUGCAUCCUCUUUCUCAUAUUAGAAAUGAGACAACUAUAGAGUACCAUUUGAAUCAAUAUCACGGAAAAUACGUUCGCAACCUUGUCGGUUCGAUUAAAAUUAGAUAAGAAUUUUCUACGUCGCUGAAUGUGAUAUACAGCAAUUGACGAAAACCAUGAACUGUAUAACAAAGAAAUAAUCCUAAUUCUUCAAAUUUCAAUGUAACAUUUUGGUAUUUGAAUGUUCACAGGACUUGGAAUACCUUUUUUCUCUUCACAAAUAUAUCUAUUUAGAUGUUGACCUAAUUAAAAUAAACAAGAAAAUGAUUGUCAAAUAUAACUGAACAAAUUAUAAACGUGAGAAUUACA